UACGUAGGUGGCAAGCGUUGUUCGGAAUUAUUGGGCGUAAAGCGCGCGCAGGCGGUUUCUUAAGUCUGAUGUGAAAUCUCGUGGCUCAACCACGAGCGGCCAUUGGAAACUGGGAAACUUGAGUGCAGAAGAGAAGAGCGGAAUUCCACGUGUAGCGGUGAAAUGCGUAGAGAUGUGGAGGAACACCAGUGGCGAAGGCGGCUCUUUGGUCUGUAACUGACGCUGAGGCGCGAAAGCGUGGGGAGCAAACAGGAUUAGA
rnacentral:rRNA from 1 species